rnacentral:rRNA from 1 species
GACGAACGCUGGCGGCGUGCUUAACACAUGCAAGUCGAACGGAAAGGCCCUGCUUUUGUGGGGUGCUCGAGUGGCGAACGGGUGAGUAACACGUGAGUAACCUGCCCUUGACUUUGGGAUAACUUCAGGAAACUGGGGCUAAUACCGGAUAGGAGCUCCUGCUGCAUGGUGGGGGUUGGAGAGUUUCGGCGGUUGGGGAUGGACUCGCGGCUUAUCAGCUUGUUGGUGGGGUAGUGGCUUACCAAGGCUUUGACGGGUAGCCGGCCUGAGAGGGUGACCGGCCACAUUGGGACUGAGAUACGGCCCAGACUCCUACGGGGGGCAACAGUGGGGAAUAUUGCACAAUGGGCGGAAGCCUGAUGCAGCAACGCCGCGUGCGGGAUGACGGCCUUCGGGUUGUAAACCGCUUUCGCCUGUGACGAAGCGUGAGUGACGGUAAUGGGUAAAGAAGCACCGGCUAACUACGUGCCAGCAGCCGCGGUGAUACGUAGGGUGCGAGCGUUGUCCGGAUUUAUUGGGCGUAAAGGGCUCGUAGGUGGUUGAUCGCGUCGGAAGUGUAAUCUUGGGGCUUAACCCUGAGCGUGCUUUCGAUACGGGUUGACUUGAGGAAGGUAGGGGAGAAUGGAAUUCCUGGUGGAGCGGUGGAAUGCGCAGAUAUCAGGAGGAACACCAGUGGCGAAGGCGGUUCUCUGGGCCUUUCCUGACGCUGAGGAGCGAAAGCGUGGGGAGCGAACAGGCUUAGAUACCCUGGUAGUCCGCGCUGUAAACGGUGGGUACUAGGUGUGGGGUCCAUUCCACGGGUUCCGUGCCGUAGCUAACGCUUUAAGUAUCCCGCCUGGGGAGUACGGCCGCAAGGCUAAAACUCAAAGGAAUUGACGGGGCCCCGCACAAGCGGCGGAGCAUGCGGAUUAAUUCGAUGCAACGCGUAGAACCUUACCUGGGUUUGACAUGGAUCGGGAGUGCUCAGAGAUGGGUGUGCCUCUUUUGGGGUCGGUUCACAGGUGGUGCAUGGCUGUCGUCAGCUCGUGUCGUGAGAUGUUGGGUUAAGUCCCGCAACGAGCGCAACCCUUGUUCACUGUUGCCAGCACGUUAUGGUGGGGACUCAGUGGAGACCGCCGGGGUCAACUCGGAGGAAGGUGGGGAUGACGUCAAGUCAUCAUGCCCCUUAUGUCCAGGGCUUCACGCAUGCUACAAUGGCUGGUACAGAGAGUGGCGAGCCUGUGAGGGUGAGCGAAUCUCGGAAAGCCGGUCUCAGUUCGGAUUGGGGUCUGCAACUCGACCUCAUGAAGUCGGAGUCGCUAGUAAUCGCAGAUCAGCAACGCUGCGGUGAAUACGUUCCCGGGGCU